UACGUAGGGUGCAAGCGUUAAUCGGAAUUACUGGGCGUAAAGCGUGCGCAGGCGGUUUUGUAAGACAGGUGUGAAAUCCCCGGGCUUAACCUGGGAACUGCGCUUGUGACUGCAAGACUCGAGUACGGCAGAGGGGGGUGGAAUUCCACGUGUAGCAGUGAAAUGCGUAGAGAUGUGGAGGAACACCGAUGGCGAAGGCAGCCCCCUGGGUCGAUACUGACGCUCAUGCACGAAAGCGUGGGGAGCAAACAGG
rnacentral:rRNA from 1 species